rnacentral:lncRNA from 1 species
UAUAUUCAUUCAAAUGCACACUUCAAUAUGGGAAAUUUUCAUAACUAGGUGUCAACUUGAACUCAAGAACUUAAUCUGCUAUAUAUGAAGCAAUAAAAUUAGAGAUAUAUGACAUAAAUACAAAAUAAUAUCUACGGGACGAAAUUAAGAUUUUCCGUGCAGGAAUGUUUGUAGGAUACACAGAACAAACACAAACGAUAAACGAAAAAUUUUCAACGGUCCAACAAAUACACUACAAACUUAAUAAAAUAUCAGUAAAUCAAAUCAUAUCUCUUUGUAUUCUUUUCAUUUACUCACGAGCAACGGGAGAUGUAACAGAUGCAGUAAUUACAACUAAUAAAUCUCUUAGAUCAAGAAGCGGCCAAACAAAAUCGAGAAACUGAGAAGAAAACAGAAUUGAAACAUAGAUUUGUCAUUACGAAUUGCUGAUGAUUUUGGUCUUGCGCAAGCGCCUGUGCCAGGAUAUGUCGGUACUGUGUGUACCCUCCUUUUAAUUUGGACACCUAUCUCCUGAGAGUCUGUAGUGAACAAGGUUCGACUUUGAAUUCCAGUUGUCUGUUGAGUUGAAGCUGGAAAGUUUUGGGACAGUAAGAUGACUGCUGUGAAUGCUAUAGAUAAUACACACUUCAUUUCUUUCACAUUAGAAGAGGCAAGAUUGAAAAUGGUGUAGAAAAACAGUUCAAAGUUGAGUGGUGGCAGUUGGAUUGGUUGGGCUGGAUUCAAUAAAUUAAAUGUGUUCUUUUCCUUUUAAAAUAGAAUGAUGCGACAUCAAAUUUCAAGAUAACGACGAACUGAUAAACUUUUCCCCAUAGAAAUAACUUGUCGAAGUUAAUUACUUUUAGGUAAAAAUUUGUCUAGUGUGGGGACAACAGCCUACCAAAGUGUAUAAACAAGGAAUAUAUUAGGAAUAAAUUCACAAUGAAGUAGCAGCCAAAUUGUAAAACGUGGGGACAGAGGAAAAAGGAAGNCUACCAAGUAGAAGACCUAUGC